rnacentral:rRNA from 1 species
AAUUGGGGAUAACAUUGCGAAAGCGAUGCUAAUACCGGAUAAUAUCCCGAAGCCUUCGGUCUUCGAGAUCAAAGGUGGCCUCUACAUGUAAGCUACCGUUUGGAGAUGAGCUCGCGUACCAUUAGCUUGUUGGUAGGGUAACGGCCUACCAAGGCUACGAUGGUUAGCUGGUCUGAGAGGAUGAUCAGCCACACUGGAACUGACACACGGUCCAGACUCCUACGGGAGGCAGCAGUGAGGAAUUUUGCGCAAUGGGGGAAACCCUGACGCAGCAACGCCGCGUGAGUGAUGAAGGCUUUCGGGUCGUAAAGCUCUGUCAAGUGGGAAGAAACUGUCCGAUGUAAAUAUCAUCGGGUACUGACGGUACCACUGAAGGAAGCACCGGCUAACUCCGUGCCAGCAGCCGCGGUAAUACGGGGGGUGCAAGCGUUAUUCGGAAUCAUUGGGCGUAAAGGGCGCGUAGGCGCCUCUUAAGUCAGAUGUGAAAGCCCGGGGCUUAACCCCGGAAGUGCAUUUGAAACUGAGAAGCUUGAGUAUGGGAGAGGGAAGUGGAAUUCCUGGUGUAGAGGUGAAAUUCGUAGAUAUCAGGAGGAACACCGGUGGCGAAGGCGACUUCCUGGACCAAUACUGACGCUGAGGCGCGAAGGCGUGGGUAGCAAACAGGAUUAGAUACCCUGGUAGUCCACGCAGUAAACGUUGAACACUAGGUGUAGCGGGUAUUGACCCCUGCUGUGCCGCAGUUAACGCAUUAAGUGUUCCGCCUGGGAAGUACGGCCGCAAGGUUAAAACUCAAAGGAAUUGACGGGGGCCCGCACAAGCGGUGGAGCAUGUGGUUUAAUUCGACGCAACGCGAAGAACCUUACCUGGGUUUGACAUCCCGAGAAGUCUCUUGAAAGAGAGAUGUGCCCUUCGGGGAGCUCGGAGACAGGUGCUGCAUGGCUGUCGUCAGCUCGUGUCGUGAGAUGUUGGGUUAAGUCCCGCAACGAGCGCAACCCUUAUCUUUAGUUACCAGCAUUCAGUUGGGGACUCUAAAGAUACUGCCCCGGUUAACGGGGAGGAAGGUGGGGAUGACGUCAAGUCCUCAUGGCCCUUAUACCCAGGGCUACACACGUGCUACAAUGGGCUGUACAAAGGGUCGCGAGCCCGCGAGGGUUAGCUAAUCCCAUAAAGCAGCUCUAAGUUCGGAUUGGAGUCUGCAACUCGACUCCAUGAAGCUGGAAUCGCUAGUAAUCGUGGAUCAGCACGCCACGGUGAAUACGUUCCCGGGCCUUGUACACACCGCCCGUCACACCAUGAGAGUUGGUUGUACCAGAAGUUGUUGGACCAACCCGCAAGGGAGGUAAGCACCUAAGGUAUGGCUGAUGAUUGGGGUGAAGUCGUAACAAGGUA